CUGGGCAACCUGGUUCCAAGACUCUAACUUGCACCCCACUAAUGGACUCCAUCAGUGUACCCCAUGCUCCCGAGGAACCCUACACCACUGCCAUUUUUGAGAAGGACGGACACACAGACGUCCUUGAGAGAAGCCACACAGCAGCCAGCAGCCACCUUUGAUUAGGAGAUCUGAAAUGGGCGUCAAGUUCAACACAAACAGCAGGAAAUACUUCUGCACCCAUCCCGGCUGAGAGACUGCAUGUGUGAUCUCUUUCCUCAGGAAGCUCUGCGGCUGCAUAAAAAAAAACAAUUUCCAGAA